CGCCGGUCGGGUGGGCGGAUGGGGCGGUGCCCGCUCGGAGCUGCCGCCGCGGGGUACUCACGUCCCACCUGCGGAAGGUGGGGCUAGCUCUGGAGGAGUUCCUUGGUGGCCUUGAGGACCUCAGACUUAACCCGGCCGCUGGAGCCAUCCCGGCGGACUGGAAGUGCACGGGCUAGGAGAGCAAGAAGGACGUGACAGGCGGGCGAACCUGACGUAAUUAGUGAACGAGGGCUAAAGAAAAAGAAGUCAGUAGGUGGAGAUGGGGCACACCUUUAGUCCCAGAACUCGGGAGGCAGAAAGAUCUCUAUUUAUUAUUAUUUUGUCAACAUGUAUGUCUGCACUACGAAAGAGGACACUGGAUCCCAUGAAGCUGCAGUAAUAGACAGUGGUGUCCCUCCCUGAUGAUUGCAUGCCAAGAUGAUCUGGUCUUCCCAUCCGUUGUUGGACGUUCGUGUGGCCUCUCACCAGUGUGUAAUGUGAUGCCAAAUAAGGCAGAAGCUGCUGCCUAAACCCUUUCCAGUCAGGACACUUAUAAGGCCUCUCUCCUGUGUAAGUUCUCUUGUGAACCAUAAGGGGGAAAUAUUGCUGAAGCUUUUCCCUCACUCGCCACACAAGACGGACUUCUCCCCUGCGCGUGUUUUCAAAUGCUGAACCAGGUGGGAACUGUUAGAACAGCCUUUCCCACGUCUAGAACAUUUAUAUGAUUUUUCUCCUGAGUGUGUCCCCUGGUGUGUAUGGAGACGAGAAGCUUUCCCAGCAUUUAGAACAUUCAGGGGGCUUCUCUCUAAAAGACGAAUUCCACUGGGCAGAGGUGUUGAUAUGAUCUUCAGAACCCCAUCCUCCUUGGCGAGGUCCCCCCUCCUUUCUCUAUAGUGUCCUCCUGUUUCUCUGAUUGGUCAUCAUUCUCAUAAGAAUCAUGACAACAGACCUCUUCUCCAUGAGACUAUACCAGAUGCAUGCUUCUGUUCGUCGUGCUUAGAAUUCUGUGGCCCUCAUCUUUUAGACCAUUUUAGAGCCUUCUCUUGAAGUUUAUCAGCCUUAGGUGUACUGCUUUGAACAGUCCCUAAGUUAUCCCUAUUUUCAUCUCCUGCAAGAAUUAAAAAAAAAAAAAAAUCUAACCAUAGUCCUUUAUCUUGCCUGACAAAUUCUGAACUGAAGUGCGAGAGUAACAGUGGAAACCCUCAUAAUGCAUUAUUAGAAAAUCAGUGUAUGGGUUGGUGAUUUAGCUCAGUGGUAGAGCGCUUGCCUAGGAAGCGCAAGACCUUGGGUUCGGUCCCCAGCUCCGAAAAAAAGAAAAGAAAAAAAAAAAAAAGAAAGAAAGAAAGUCAGUGUCUGUGUGUGCUUGGAGGUGCCUUCCCUUUGGUUUCUGCUGCUAUUUUAAACACCACGACCAAAAGCAACUCGAGGAGGAAAGAGUUUCUUUCAUCUUAUAUCACAGGUAACUGUCCAUUGCUAAAGGAAGUCAAGGCAGGGUCUCCAAAGGGGAACUGAGAAACCGUGGCGGGGGGGGGGGGGGGGGAGGGGGCUGUUUACUACAUUGUUCCCCAUAGCUUGCUUAGCCUGCUUUUAAUAUCAUCCAAGACUAUCUGCCCAGGGUGCCACUGCCACAACAGGCUUGACCCUCCCACAUAAAUCACUAGUUAAGAAAAUGCCCCACAGGCCAAUUUGAUAGACGUUUUCUCAAUUGAGGGUCUCUCUUCUCAAACAACUCUAGCUUCUGUCAAAUUGACUAAUAAAAACUAACCAGGAUGGUCAUUCUUACUCCUGUGUUUGCUCAGUCUUAUUUUCACUUCAUAUGACAGUCUACUUAGGUCCCUUUUUACCUUGUAAACCUCAAAUAAAGCUUAGAACAUUUAUUUUUAGGUUGGUAUUGCCCUUGGGAUUUGCAUAAUCGAAAACUCAGUUUGUAUGGUGGAUAAGAACAAAAUCCACUAAUGAACACUCAGAAUUAAAAGUAAGACUAGUUUUAAAACAUUUCUGUAG
ensembl:lncRNA